GUGGUUCUGGCGAGUCGAGCAGGUGCUUCCGGAGUGCUUGGCAGGGGAUAUGUCGUCUCCGGCACGUGUUUCUGGCACAUUUGAGAGGUCCUUCUGGAAUGUAUGGCAAGUGGUUCUGGCGUAGCCACAGGUGAUUUUGGCAUGUCCAGCAGGUGGUUCCAGCGAGUCAAACAGGUGGUUCCAGCGAGAUCGGCAGGUGCUUCUGGCACGUCUGAGAGGUGGUUCUGGCAUGCUCGGCAGGUGAUUCCAGAGUGUCCACCAAGUGGUUCUGGCGUAGCCGGCAGGUGAUUUUGGAGUAUCCGGCAUGUCAUUCCAGCGAGACGAGCAGGUGGUUCCAGCGUUCUCGGCAGGUGGUUCAGGCAUGUCCAACAUCUGGUUCCGGUCAGUCCAGGAGGUGGUUCCAGUGUGUACUGCACGUGUUUCUGGCACAUCCGAGAGGUGGUAGCGGCAUGCCCGGCAGGUGAUUCUGGAGUGUCUGACAACUGGUUCUGGCGUAGCUGGCUGGUGAUUUUGGCGUGUCCGGCAGGUGGUUCUGGGGAGUCAAGCAGGUGAUUCUGGCGUGCUCGGCAGGUGAUUCAGGUGGGUCUGGCAGGUUGUUCCCGUCUGUCCGGGAUGUGGUUCCAGCAUGUCAGGCACAUGGUUCUGGCACGUCUGAGAGGUGGUUCCAGCAUGCACGCCAGGUGAUCCCAAAGAGUCCAACAAGUGGUUGUGGUGUAGAAGGAAGGUGAUUUUGGCGUGUCCGGUAGGUGGUUCUGGCGAGUCGAGCAGGUGGUUCCAGCGUGCUCGGCAGGUGGUUCAGGCGGUCCGGCAGGUGGUUCCGGUCUGUCCGGGAGGUGGUCCUGGCAUGUCCGGCACGUGGUUCCAGCACGUCUGAGAGGUGGUUCCGGCAUGCCAGGCAGGAGAUUCAAGACAGUCCGCCAUGUGGUUCUGGCGUGACCGGCAUGUGAUUUGGGCGUGUCCGGCAGGUGCUUCCAGCGAGUCGAGCAGGUGGUUCAAGCUUGCUGAGCAGGUGCUUCCGGGGUCUUUUGCACGUGGUUCCGGCACAUCUGAGAGGUGGUUCCGGCAUGACCAGCAGGUGGUUCCGGUCUGUCCUGGAGGUGGUUCCGGCGUGUCCGACACGUGCUUCUGGCAUGUCAGAGAGGUUGUGCCGGCAUGCCCGGAACGUUAUUCCAGCUUGUACACCAAGUGGUUCUGGCGUAGAGGGCUGGUGAUUUUGGUGUGUCCUGCAGGUGGGUCUGCCGAGUCAAGCAGGUAGUUCCGACGAGUCUGGCAGGUGGUUCUGGUCUUUCCGGGAGUUGGGUCCGGCGUGUCCGUCAUGUGCUUCUGGCAGGUCUGAGAGGUGGUUCCAGCGUGCACAGCAGGUGAUUCCGGAGUGUCCGCCAAGUGGUUCUGGUGUAGCCGGCAGGUGAUUUUGCCUGUCCGGCGCUGGAUCUGGCGAUUCGAGCAGGUGGUUCCAGCAUGUCCAGCAGGUGGUUCCGGUCUGUCCUGGAGGUGGUGCCGGUGUGUCCGGCAUGUGCUUCUGGCACGUCUCAGAGGUUGUGUCGGCAUGUCCGGAACAUUAUGCUGGCUUGUACACCAAGUGGUUCUCCCGUAGCCGGCAGGUGAUUUUCGUGUGUCCGGCAGGUGGGUCCCCCAAGUUAAGCUGGUAGUUACAACGAGUCUGGCAGGUGGUUCUGGUCUUUCCGGGAGUUGGGUCCGGCGUGUCCGUCAUGUGCUUCUGGCACGUCUUAGAGGUGGUUCUGGCAUGCACGGCAGGUGAUACUGGAUUGUCCAUUAAGUGGUUCUGGCAUAGCCGGCAGGUGAUUUUGGCGUGUCCGGCAGGUGGUUCUGGGGAGUGGAUCAGGUGGUUCCGGCAUAAUCGGCAGGUGGUUCCAGCGUGUCCGGCACAUGGUUCUGGCAUGUCUGAGAGGUGGUUCCUGCAUGCCCGGCAGGUGAUCCCAGAGAGUCCUCCAAGUGGUUCUGGCGUAGCCCGCAGGUGAUUUUGGCGUGUCUGGCAGGUGGUUCCAGUGAGUCGAGCAGGUGGUUCUGGCGUGUGCUGCAGGUGGUUCCGCUCUUUCAUGAAAGUGGUUCCGGCCUGCUCGGCAUUUGAUUCCGGCAUCUCUGGCAUGUGGUUGUGGCACGUCUGAGAGGAGGUUCUGGCAUGCCCUUCAAGUGAUUCCGUAAUGUCCACCAAGUGGUUCUGGCGUAGCUGGCAACUGAUUUUGGCGUGACCAGCAGGUGGUUCCAGCAUGUCGAGUAGGUGGUCCCGGUGAGCUCAGCAGGUGCUUCCGGCGUCUCUGGCACGUGGUUCUGGCAGGUUUCAGAGGUGGUUCCGGCAUGCCCGGCAGGUGAUUCCGGAGUGUCCGGCAAGUGGUUCUGACAUAGCCAGAAGGUGAUUUUGACGUGUCUGGCAGGUUGGUCCUGUGAGUCGAGCAGGUGGUUCUGGCAUGCUCGGCAGGUGGUUCAGGAGCGUCCAGCAGGUGGUUCCGUUAUGUCCGGUACGUGGUUCCGGCGUGUCCGGCACUUGGUUCUGGUACAUUUGAGAGGUGGUUCCGGCAUGCCGGGCAGGUGAUUCCGGAGUGUCCAGCAAGUGGUUCUGGCAUAGCCGGCAGGUGAUAUUGGCGUGUCCGGCAGGUGGUUCUGUGGAGUGGGUCAGAUCCUUCCGGUAUUCUCGGCAGGUGCUUCCGGCGUCUCUGGCUCGUGGUUCUGGCAAGUCUGAGAGGUGGUUCCAGCAUGCCCGGUAGGUGAUUCCAGAAUGUCCGGCAAGUGGUUCUGGCAAAACCGGCAGGUGAUUUUGGCGUGUCCAGCAGGUGGGUCCUGGGAGUCGAGCAGGUGGUUGCGGCGUGCACAGCAGGUGCUUCCAGCGACACCAGCACGUGUUUCUGGCACAUCUGAGAGGUGGUUCCGCCGAGUCGAGAAGGUGGUUCCAGUGUGCUCAGCAGGUGCUUCCAAAGUCUCCGGCACGUGGUUGUGGCACGUCUGAGAUGUGGUUCCGGCAUGCCUGGCAGGUGAUUCCGGACUGUCCCCACGUGGUUCUAGCAUGUCUGAGAGGUGGUUCCGGCAUGCCUGUCAGCUGAUCCCGGAGAGUCCUCCAAGUGAUUCUGGCGUAGCCGGCAGGUGAUUUUGGCAUGUCCGGCAGGUGGUCCCGGCGUGCUCGGCAGGUGGUUCAGGCAGGUCCGGCAAGUGGUUCCGGUCUGUCCGGGAGGUGGUUCCGGCAUGUCCGGCACUUGGUUGCGGCACGUCCGUUUGGUGGUUCCGGCAUGCCCACCAGGUGAUCCCGGAGUGUCCGCCAAGUGGUACUGGCAUAGCUGGAAUGUGAUUUGGGUGUGUCCGGCAGGUGCUUCCAGUGAGUCGAGCAGGUGGUUCCAGCGUGCCCACCAGGUGAUCCUGGAGAGUCCAACAAGUGGUUCUGGUGUAGCCGGCAGGUGAUUUCAGCAUGUCUGGUAGGUGGUUCUGGUGAGUCGAGCAGGUGGUUCCGGCGUGCUCGGCUGGUGGUUCAGGUGGUUCUGGCAGGGGGUUCCAGUCUCUCCGGGUGGUGGUUCCGGCGUGUCCGGCAUUUGGUUCAGGCACGUCUCAGAGGUGGUUCUGGCAUGCCCGGCAGGUGAUUCCAGAGAGUCCACCAAGUGGUACUGGCGUAGCCAGCAUGUGAUUUGGGCGUGUCUGGAAGGUUCUUCCAGCGAGUCAUGGAGAUGGUUCCAGCGUGCUCGGCUGGUGCUCCUGGUGUCUUUGACAGGUGGUUCUGGCAUGUCUGACAGGUGGUUCUGGCACACCCAGCAGGUGAUUCCGGUGUGUCCGCCAAGUGGUUCUGGCGUAGCCAGCAGGAGAUUUUGCAUGUCCAGCGGUGGUUCCGCCAAGUCGAGCAGGUGGUUCCGGCAUUUACGGCAGGUGGUUCCGGUCUGUCCGGGAGGUGGUUCUGGCGUGUCCGGCACGUGCUUCUGGCACGUCUGAGAGGUGGUUCCGGCAUGUCUGUCACGUGAUUCCGGAUUGUCCACCAAGUGGUUCUGGCGUAGCCGGCAGGUCAUUUUGGCGUGUCCAGCAGGUGGCUCCUGUGAGUCAAGCAUGUGGUUUGGGCGAGCUCCGCAGGUGCUUCCAGUGUCUCCGGCACGUGGUUCUGGCACGUCUGAGAUGUGGUUCUGGCAUGCCCGGCCCGAGAUUCCGGAUUGCCCACUAAGUGGUUCUGGUGUAGCUGGCAGGUGAUUUUGGCGUGUCCGGCAGGUGGUUCCGUCAUGUCGAGCAGGUGGUUCCGGCGAGCUCGGCACGUGCUUCUGGCGUCUCCAGCACGUGGUUCUGGCACGUUUCAGAGGUGGUUCCGGCAUGCCUGGCAGAUGAUUCUGGAGUGUCCAGCAAGUAGUUCUGGCAUAGCUGGCAGGUGUGUUUGGCCUGUCCGGCAGGUUGGUCCUGUGAGUCGAGCAGGUGGUUCCGGCAUGCUCGGCAGGUGGUUCAGGUGUGUCCGGCCGGUGGUUCUGUUCUGUCCAGUAGGUGGUUCUGGCGUGUCGGGCCCGUGGUUCUGGCACGUCUGAGAGGUGGUUCCAGCCUGCCCAACAUGUGAUUCCGGAGUGUCCGCCAAGUGGUUCUGGCGUAGCCGGCAGGUGAUUUUGGGGUUUCCAGCAGGUGGGUCCUGGUAUCGAGAAAGUGGUUCCAGCGUGCUCGGCAGGUGCUUCCAGCAACUCCAGCACAUUUUUCUGGCACGUCUGAGAGGUGGUUCCGGCAUGCCCGGCAGGUGAUUCCGGAGUGUCCAGCAAGUGGUUCUGGCAUAGCCGGCAGGUGAUUUUGGUGUGUCCGGUAGGUGGUUCCGGCGAGUCGAGAGGGUGGUUCCGGUGAGCUCGGCAGGUGCUUCCGGAGUCUCCGGCACGUGGUUGUGGCACGUCCGAGAUGUGGUUCCGGCAUGCCUGGCCCAUGAUUCCGGCUUGUCCGACAAGUCAUUCUGGUGUAGCCGGCAGGUGAUUUUGGCGUGUCUGGCAGGUGGUUCUGUCGAGUCGAGCAGGUGGUUACGGCGUGUUCGGCAGUUUCAUCUGGUGUCUCUAGCACGUGGUUCUGAGAUGUCUGAGAGGUGGUUCCGGCAUGCUAGGCAGGUGAUUCCAGAGUGUCUGCCAAGUGGUUCUGAUGUAGCCGGCUGGUGAUUUUGGUGUUUUCGGCAGGUGGGUCCUGCUAUUUGAGCAGGUGGUUCUGGUGUGCUUGGCCAGUGGUUCAGGCGGGUCCGGCAGGUGGUUCCAGUCGGUCCAGGACGUGGUUCCGGCGUGUCCGGCACGUGGUACUGGUACGUCUGAGAGGUGGUCCGGCGUACUCGGCAGGUGGUUCCAUCAUGUCCAGCAAAUGAUUCUCGUAAGUCUGAGAGGUGGUUCCAGCAUGCCCGGCUUGUGACCGCGGACUGUCUGCCACGUGGUUCUGGCUUACCCAGCAGGUGAUUUUGGCGUUUCUGGGAGGUGGUUACGGCGAGUCGAGCAGGUGGUUCGGGCGUGCUCGGAAGGUGGUUCAGGCAUUUCCGGCAGGUCGUUCCAGUCUGUCCAGGACGUGGUUCCUGUGUGUCCUGCACGUGGUUCUGUUACGUCUGACAGGUGGUUCUGGCAUGCCCGCAGGUGAUUCCGGAUUGUCCACCAAGUGGUUCUGGCAUAGCCGGCAGGUGAUUUUGGCCUGUCUGGUAGUUGGGUCCUGCGAGUUGAUCAGGUGGUUCCGGCGUGCUCGGCAGGUGGUUCUGGCGAGUCUGGCACUUGGUUCUGGCACCUCUGAGAGGUGGUUCCGGCAUGCCCGGCAGGUGAUUCUAGACAGUCCACCACGUGGUCCUGGCAUAGCCGGCAGGUGAUUUUGGGUGUCUGGCGGUGGUUCCGGCAGGUCGAGCAGGUGGUUCCGGCGUGCUUGGCAGGUGGUUCCGGUGUGUCCGGCAUUUGGUUCCAGUCUUUCCAGGACGUGGUUCUGGCGUGUCCAGCACAUGGUUCUGGUACGUCUGAGAGGUGGGUCCAACAUGUCCGGCAGGUGAUUCCAGAGCAUCUGCCAAGUGGUUCGGCCAUAGCCGCAGGUGACUUUGGCAUGUCCGGCAGGUGUUUCUGGGGAGGGGAUCAGGUGGUUCAGGAAUGCUUGGCAGGUGCUUCCAGCAUCUCCUGCAUGUGCUUCUGGCAUGUCUGAGAGGUGGUCCCGGCAUGCCCAGCAGGUGAUUCCAGAGUGUCCAAGAAGUGGUUCUUGUGUAGCCAGCUGGUGAUUUGGGCGUGUUGGGCUGGUGGUUCCGGUGAGUCUAGCAGGUUUUUCCGGCGGGCUCGGAGGUGGUUCAGGCGUUUUGGGCAGGUUGUUCCAGUCUGUCCUAUAGGAGCUUUCGGCGUGUCCCAUACAUGAUUCUGGCACGUCUGAGAGGUGGUUCUGGCAUGCCUGGCAGGUCAUCCCGUAGAGUCCUCGCAGUGGUUCUGGUGUAGCCGUCAGGUGAUUUUGGCAUGUCCGGCAGGUGGUUCCAGCGUGCUUGACAGGUGGUUCAGGCAGGUGCGGCAGUUGGUUCCGGUCUGUCCAGGAGAUGGUUCUAUCACGCCUGGCAGGUGAUUCCAAAGAGUCCGCCAAGUGGUUGUGGCUUAGCCAGCAGGUGAUUUUGGCAUGUCCGGCAGGUGAUUUUGGUGUGUCCGGCACUUGUUCCAGCAAGUCGAGCAGGUGUCUCCGGCGUGCUCAGCAGGUGGUUCCAGCGUGUCCGGCAGGUGGUUCCGGUCUGUCCGGUAGGUGGUUCUGGCACGUCUGAGAGGUGGUUCCGGCAUGCCGGGCAUGUCUUCCCAGAGAGUCCUCCAAGUGGUUCUGGCGUAGCCCCCAGGUGACUGAGGUGUCCGGCAGGUGGUUCCGGCAUGCUCGGCAGGUGGUUCAGGCAGGUCCUGCAGGUGGUUCCGGUCUGUCCAGGAGGUGGUUCCGGCGUGUCCAGCAUGUGGUUCUGGCAUGUCUGAGAGGUGGUUCCGGCAUGCCCGGCAGGUGAUUCCGGAGUGUCCAGCAAGUGGUUCUGGCGUAGCCGGCAGGUGAUUUUUGCGUGUCCGUUGGUGGUUCCAGCGAGUCGAGCAGGUGGUUCCGGCAUGUCCGGCAGGUGGUUCCGGUGUGUCCUGGAGGUGGUUCCGGAGUGUCUGUCAUGUGCUUCUGACACGUCUGAGAUGUGCUGGCAUGCCCGGAACGUUAUUCUGGUUUCUUCGCCAAGUGGUUCUGCAUAGCUGGCAGGUGAUUUUGGCGUGUCCAACAGGUGUGUCCAGUGAAUCAAGCAGGUGGUUCCAGCGAGUCUGGCAGGUGGUUCCCGUCUGUAAGGGUGGUGGUUCCGGCGUGUCCGGCACGUGCUUCUGGCACGUCUGACAGGUUGUGCUGGCAUGCCCGGCAGGUGAUUCCAGAGUGUCCACCAAGUGCUUCUGACAUAGCCUGCAGGUGGUUCCGGCAUGCUCGGCAUGUGGCUCAGGCGUGUCCGGCAGGUGGUUCCGAUCUGUCUGGGAGGAGGUUCCGGAGUGUCUGGCACGUGUUUCCGGCACUUCUGAGAAGUGGUUCCUGCAUGCCCGGAAGGUGAUUCCUGAAUGUCCGCCACGUGGUUCUGGCGUAGCUGGCAUGCGAUUUUGGCGUGUCCGGCAGGUGAUUCCGGCAAGUCUAGCAGGUUGUUCUGGCGUGCUCGGCAGGUGGUUCAGAUGUGUCCAGUAGGUGGUUCCAGUCUGUCCAGGAGGUGCUUCCAGGGUGUCCGGCAUGUGGUUCUGGCAUGUCUGAGAGGUGGUUCUGGCAUGCCUGGCAUGUGAUUCUGGAGUUUCCGCUGAGUGGUUCUGGCUUAGCUGGCUGGUGAUUUUGGCAUGUCCAGCAGAUGGUUCCGGCGAAUCGAGCAGGCGGUUCUGGAGUGCUCAGCAGGUGGUUCAGACGUGUCCAACAGGUGGUUCCGGUCUGUCUGGGAGGUGUUUCCGGCGUGACAGGCACGUGGUUCUGGUACAUGUAAAGGGGUUUCCGGUAGGCCCCACAGGUGAUUCCGGAGUGUCUGCCAAGUGGUUCAGGCGUGGCCGGCAGGUGAUUCGAGAGUGUCCACCAAGUGGUUCUGACAUAGCCUGCAUGUGGUUCCGGCAUGCUCAGCAGGUGGUUCAUGCAUGUCUGGCAGGUUCUGGCACUUCUGAGAAGUGGUUCCGGCAUUCCCCGCAGGUGAUUCCGGAGUGUCUGCCAAGUGGUUCUGGCGUAGCCAGCAGGUGAUUUUGGCGUGUCCAGCAGGUGGUUCAGGCGAGUCGAGGAGGUCGUUCCGGUGUGCUCAGCCGGUGGUUCAGGCAGGUCCGGCAGGUGGUUCCAGUCUGUCCGGCAGGUGGUUCUGGCAUGUCCAGCACAUGGUUCUGGCACGUCUGAGAGGUGGGCCGGCAUGCCCUACAGGUGAUUCUGGAGUGUCCGGCAAGUGGUUCUGGCGUAGCUGGCUAGUGAUUUUGACGUCUCUGUCUGGUGGUUCUGGCGAGUUGAGCAGGUGGUUCCAGCGUUCUCAGAGGUGGUUCAGGCGGGUCCGUCAGGCGCUUCUGUUCUUUCUGGGAGGUGGUUCCGGCGUGUCCAGCAUGUGCUUCCUGCACGUGUGAGAGGUGGCUCCGGCAUGCCUGGCGGAUGUUUCCAGAGAGUCCACCAAGUGGUUCUGGCAUAGCUGGCAGGUGAUUUAGGCGUGUCCGACAGGUGGGUCCGGCGAGUCAAGCAGGUGGUUCCGGCGAGUCCAGCAGAUGGUUGCUGUAUCUCAUGGAGGUGGUUCAGGCAUGUCCGGCACAUGCUUCUGGCACGUCUGAGAGGUUGUGCCGGCAUGCCCGGCAGGUGAUUCCAGAGUGUCCGGCAAGAGGUUCUGGUGGCGCCAGCAGAUGAUUUUGGCAUGUCCGGCAUGUGCUUCCGGUGAAUCUAGCAGGUGGUUCCGGUGUGCUCGGCAGGUGGUUCUGGCAUCUCCAGCACCUGUUUCUGUCACGUCUGAGAUCUGGUUCCGGCAUGCCCAGCAGGUGAUUCCGGAGUGUCCACCAAGUGUUUAUGGCUUAGCUGGCAGGUGAUUUUGGCGUGUCCGACUGGUGAUUCCGGCAAGUCGAGCAGGUGGUUUCGGCAUGCUCUGCACAUGGUUCAGGCGUGUCCGGCAGGUGUUUCCAGUCCCUCUGGGAGGUGGCUCCGGAGUGCUGGGAAGGUGCUUCCGGCGUCUCCUGCACGUGCUUCUAGCACGUAUGACAGGUGGUUCUGGCAUGCCCAGUGGGUGUUACCACAGUGUCCAGCAAGUGGUUCUGGCGUGCUUGGCAGGUGGUUCAGGUGGGUCUGCCCGGUGGUUCCAGUAUGUCUGGGAUGUGGUUCCGGCGUGUCCAGCACGUGCUUCUGGCACGUCUGAGAGGUUGUGCUGGGAUUCCUGGCAGGUGCUUCCAGACUGUCCGGCAAGUGGUUGUGGUGUAGCCGGCAGGUGAUUUUGGCAUGUCCGGCAGGUAGUUCCAGCGAGUCGAGCAGGUAGUUCGGGCAUGCUCAGCAGGUGGUUCACCAUGUCCGGCAAGUGGUUGCAGUCUAUCCAGGACGUGGUUCUGUCAUGUCUGGCACAUCGUUCUGGUACGUCUGAGAUGUGGAUCUGGCAUGCCCGGCCGGUGAUUCCGGAGUGUCCGGCAGGUGGUUCUGCAGAGUGGAUCAGGUGGUUCAUGCAUGCUCGGCAGGUGCUUCCAGCAUCUCCGGCAUGUGCUUCUGGCACGUCUGAGAGGUGGUUCCAGCAUGCCCGCCAGGUAAUUCCGGAGUGACCAACAAGUGGUUAUGGCAUAGAGGGCUGGUGAUUUUGGCGUGUCUGGCAGGUGGUUCCGGCGAGUCGAGCAGGUGGUUCCAGCGGGCUCGGCAGGUGGUUCAGGCAUUUCGGGCAGUUGGUUCCAGUGGGUCCUGUAGGUGCUUUCAGUGUGUCCUGCACAUGGUUCUGGCACUUCUGAGAGGUGGUUCCGGCAUGCCCGGCAGGUGAUCCCGGACUGUCCCCAACGUGGUUCUGGCAUAGCUGGCAGGUGAUUUUGAUGUGUCCAGCACGUGGUUCCGGUGAGUCGAGCAGGUGGUUCCGGCGUGCUGGGCUGGUGCUUCAGGUGUGUCCGGCAGGUUGUUCCGGUCUCUCUGGUAGGUGGCUGUGGUGUGCUCAGCAGGUGCUUCCGGCAUCCCCGGCGCGUACUCCUAGCACGUCUGAGAGGUGGUUCCGGCAUGCCCGGCGGGUGAUUCCACACUGUCCGGCAAGUGGUUCUGGUGUAGCCAGCAGGUGAUUUUCGUGUGUCCGCGAGGUGGUUCCAGCGAGUCGAGGAGGUGGUUCCGGCGUGCUCAGCAGGUGGUUCAGGUGGGUCCGGCUGGUGGUUCAGGUCUGUCUGGGAGGUGGUUCCGGCGUGUCCAGCACAUGGUUCUGGUACGUCUUAGAGGUGGUUCCGGCAUGCCCGACAGGUGAUUCCGGAGUUU
ensembl:lncRNA